GCCAUGGUGGCGGAAUUGGUAGACGCGUCGGUCUCAAAAACCGAUGAGCAUUACGCUCGUGAGGGUUCGAUUCCCUCCUAUGGCACCA
rnacentral:tRNA from 1 species